rnacentral:lncRNA from 1 species
GAACAGUAUUAAAUGACUGCACAGGAGAGCAUACUUCACACUCCAAAAAUUUUCAUGAGCUCAAAGACAGUAUUAGCAGCCUUUCUUUUUGGGUCUUCCAGAGACAUGCUGCCUGCUUAAACAUGGUGGGACCAAACCAGCUCUGUCCUCCUUGUACUGCACACAGGCGGUGCUGCUUACUGCUGAUGGAAAAUAACACAUCCUACAAGGAGAAAGGCAAUUUCUCUGCUUGGAGUAGGAACCAGCCCAUCUUUCCUUUUGCCAUCCCUAGAACUGGGCCAGAUCCUCAGUAA